rnacentral:misc_RNA from 1 species
GUGGUGUUUGGAUCGUCUCUGCCGGCUGGCUCCGUGCCCGUCCGCCGAACGGCCGGCAGGCGAUCCGUGUCGGUCGCGUGAGGUGGUUUAUGUAUGGUUACCCAGAGGCUGGUUCUUGUGUUGCCUACCCCUUCAGGGGAAGCGCAGGCACUUGAUGUAGGCCUCCGUCCGGCGCCCUCCGAUGGGCGCCGGAGGACAGCGUAGCGCCCCCCGCGUUCCACCGAGCCCUCGUCGGUCGCGUGGCCCGCGGGGACGUGCGAUGCUCUCGGACCCAGCGCACGCCGUGGGUGAGGACUCACGUCCAAGUCCCAAGAGAAGCUUCUAUGCAAUGUUGACGGCCGCUCCCGCCCCACGACCGCCCCGGCGGCGCGGGGGCGCGGCGCGGCGUCGCGGAGGAAUGCUACCU